GACGAACGCUGGCGGCGUGCUUAACACAUGCAAGUCGAACGGAAAGGCCCCUUUGGGGGUACUCGAGUGGCGAACGGGUGAGUAACACGUGAGUAACCUGCCCUUGACUUCGGGAUAACUUCAGGAAACUGGGGCUAAUACCGGAUAGGAAUCCUUGCUGCAUGGUGGGGGUUGGAAAGCUUCGGCGGUUUUGGAUGGACUCGCGGCUUAUCAGCUUGUUGGUGGGGUAGUGGCUUACCAAGGCUUUGACGGGUAGCCGGCCUGAGAGGGCGACCGGCCACAUUGGGACUGAGAUACGGCCCAGACUCCGACGGGAGGCAGCAGUGGGGAAGAUUGAACAAUGGGCGGAAGCCUGAUGCAGCAACGCCGCGUGCGGGAUGACGGCCUUCGGGUUGUAAACCGCUUUCAGCAGGGGCGAAGCUUGUGGUGACGGUACCUGCAGAAGAAGCACCGGCUAACUACGUG
rnacentral:rRNA from 1 species